rnacentral:rRNA from 1 species
GACGAACGCUGGCGGCGUGCUUAACACAUGCAAGUCGAACGGAAAGGCCCUGCUUGCAGGGUACUCGAGUGGCGAACGGAUGGGUAACACAUGGGUGAUCUGCCCUCCACUUCGGGUUAGGCUUGGUCAACUGGGUCUAAUACCGGAUGGGAGCCAUCUUUAGUCUGGUGGUUGGAAAGUUUUUUCGGUGUAGGAUGAGCUCUCGGCCUAUCAGCUUGUUGGGGGGGUAAUGGCCUACCAAGGCGGCGACGGGUAGCCGGCCUGAGAGGGUGUACGGCCACAUUGGGACUGAGAUACGGCCCAGACUCCGACGGGAGGCAGCAGUGGGGAAUAUUGCACAAUGGGCGCAAGCCUGAUGCAGCGACGCCGCGUGGGGGAUGAAGGCCUUCGGGUUGUAAACUCCUUUCGCUAGGGACGAAGCUUUUUUGUGACGGUACCUAGAUAAGAAGCACCGGCUAACUACGUG